rnacentral:rRNA from 1 species
UUUGGUUAAGUUAGAAAGGGCGCACGGUGGAUGCCUUGACACUAGGAGUCGAUGAAGGACGGGACUAACGCCGAUAUGCUUCGGGGAGCUGUAAGUAAGCUUUGAUCCGAAGAUUUCCGAAUGGGGAAACCCACCAUACGUAAUGGUAUGGUAUCCUUAUCUGAAUACAUAGGGUAAGGAAGACAGACCCAGGGAACUGAAACAUCUAAGUACCUGGAGGAAGAGAAAGCAAAUGCGAUUUCCUGAGUAGCGAGCGAAACGGAACAUAGCCCAAACCAAGAGGCUUGCCUCUUGGGGUUGUAGGACAUUCUAUACGGAGUUACAAAGGAACGAGGUAGACGAAGCGACCUGGAAAGGUCCGUCGUAGAGGGUAACAACCCCGUAGUCGAAACUUCGUUCUCUCUUGAAUGUAUCCUGAGUACGGCGGAACACGUGAAAUUCCGUCGGAAUCUGGGAGGACCAUCUCCCAAGGCUAAAUACUCCCUAGUGAUCGAUAGUGAACCAGUACCGUGAGGGAAAGGUGAAAAGCACCCCGGAAGGGGAGUGAAAGAGAUCCUGAAACCGUGUGCCUACAAAUAGUCAGAGCCCGUUAACGGGUGAUGGCGUGCCUUUUGUAGAAUGAACCGGCGAGUUACGAUCCCGUGCGAGGUUAAGCUGAAGAGGCGGAGCCGCAGCGAAAGCGAGUCUGAAUAGGGCGUUUAGUACGUGGUCGUAGACCCGAAACCAGGUGAUCUACCCAUGUCCAGGGUGAAGUUCAGGUAACACUGAAUGGAGGCCCGAACCCACGCACGUUGAAAAGUGCGGGGAUGAGGUGUGGGUAGCGGAGAAAUUCCAAUCGAACCUGGAGAUAGCUGGUUCUCCCCGAAAUAGCUUUAGGGCUAGCCUUAAGUGUAAGAGUCUUGGAGGUAGAGCACUGAUUGGACUAGGGGUCCUCAUCGGAUUACCGAAUUCAGUCAAACUCCGAAUGCCAAUGACUUAUCCUUAGGAGUCAGACUGCGAGUGAUAAGAUCCGUAGUCAAAGGGAAACAGCCCAGACCGCCAGCUAAGGUCCCAAAGUGUGUAUUAAGUGGAAAAGGAUGUGGAGUUGCUUAGACAACUAGGAUGUUGGCUUAGAAGCAGCCACCAUUUAAAGAGUGCGUAAUAGCUCACUAGUCGAGUGACUCUGCGCCGAAAAUGUACCGGGGCUAAAUACACCACCGAAGCUGCGGAUUGAUACCAAUGGUAUCAGUGGUAGGGGAGCGUUCUAAGGACAGUGAAGUCAGACCGGAAGGACUGGUGGAGUGCUUAGAAGUGAGAAUGCCGGUAUGAGUAGCGAAAGACGGGUGAGAAUCCCGUCCACCGAAUGCCUAAGGUUUCCUGAGGAAGGCUCGUCCGCUCAGGGUUAGUCAGGACCUAAGCCGAGGCCGACAGGCGUAGGCGAUGGACAACAGGUUGAUAUUCCUGUACCACCUCUUUAUCGUUUGAGCAAUGGAGGGACGCAGAAGGAUAGAAGAAGCGUGCGAUUGGUUGUGCACGUCCAAGCAGUUAGGCUGAUAAGUAGGCAAAUCCGCUUAUCGUGAAGGCUGAGCUGUGAUGGGGAAGCUCCUUAUGGAGCGAAGUCUUUGAUUCCCCGCUGCCAAGAAAAGCUUCUAGCGAGAUAAAAGGUGCCUGUACCGCAAACCGACACAGGUAGGCGAGGAGAGAAUCCUAAGGUGUGCGAGAGAACUCUGGUUAAGGAACUCGGCAAAAUGACCCCGUAACUUCGGGAGAAGGGUGCUUUCUUAACGGAAAGCCGCAGUGAAUAGGCCCAAGCGACUGUUUAGCAAAAACACAGCUCUCUGCGAAGCCGUAAGGCGAAGUAUAGGGGGUGACACCUGCCCGGUGCUGGAAGGUUAAGGAGAGGGGUUAGCGUAAGCGAAGCUCUGAACUGAAGCCCCAGUAAACGGCGGCCGUAACUAUAACGGUCCUAAGGUAGCGAAAUUCCUUGUCGGGUAAGUUCCGACCCGCACGAAAGGUGUAACGAUUUGGGCACUGUCUCAACCAGAGACUCGGUGAAAUUAUAGUACCUGUGAAGAUGCAGGUUACCCGCGACAGGACGGAAAGACCCCGUGGAGCUUUACUGUAGCCUGAUAUUGAAUUUUGGUACAGUUUGUACAGGAUAGGCGGGAGCCAUUGAAACCGGAGCGCUAGCUUCGGUGGAGGCGCUGGUGGGAUACCGCCCUGACUGUAUUGAAAUUCUAACCUACGGGUCUUAUCGACCCGGGAGACAGUGUCAGGUGGGCAGUUUGACUGGGGCGGUCGCCUCCUAAAGUGUAACGGAGGCGCCCAAAGGUUCCCUCAGAAUGGUUGGAAAUCAUUCGUAGAGUGCAAAGGCAUAAGGGAGCUUGACUGCGAGACCUACAAGUCGAGCAGGGACGAAAGUCGGGCUUAGUGAUCCGGUGGUUCCGCAUGGAAGGGCCAUCGCUCAACGGAUAAAAGCUACCCCGGGGAUAACAGGCUUAUCUCCCCCAAGAGUCCACAUCGACGGGGAGGUUUGGCACCUCGAUGUCGGCUCAUCGCAUCCUGGGGCUGUAGUCGGUCCCAAGGGUUGGGCUGUUCGCCCAUUAAAGCGGUACGCGAGCUGGGUUCAGAACGUCGUGAGACAGUUCGGUCCCUAUCCGUCGUGGGCGUAGGAAAUUUGAGAGGAGCUGUCCUUAGUACGAGAGGACCGGGAUGGACGCACCGCUGGUGUACCAGUUGUUCUGCCAAGGGCAUAGCUGGGUAGCUAUGUGCGGAAGGGAUAAGUGCUGAAAGCAUCUAAGCAUGAAGCCCCUCAAGAUGAGAUUUCCCAUAGCGUAAGCUAGUAAGAUCCCUGAAAGAUGAUCAGGUUGAUAGGUUCGAGGUGGAAGCAUGGUGACAUGUGGAGCUGACGAAUACUAAUAGAUCGAGGACUUAACCAUAUAA